rnacentral:rRNA from 1 species
AUGGCUUCAUCCGCCGCUGCUUCCUCCCCUCUCUCCGGCCAGAUCACCGAGCGCCUCACCCGCACCAACUACGUCUUAUGGUGCACCUAGAUCACACCGCAACUGAGAGGGGCUGGAGUCUUCGGAUACGUUGAUGGAAGCACGACGGAGCCGGCCGAGUUUGUCGUCAGCAAGGACAAGGAUGGAAAGGAGGAAACCAUCCCCAACCCCCUCCAUGCCGUCUGGUUCCGAGAGGACCAGCAGGUACUUGGGUAUCUUCUCAAUAAUCUGUCAAAACAAGUGCUAGUG